UGGUCACACAGUAUUACAGUCUUCUUUAAUUUUGUUUAUUUUAUUUUUAUGAAACCUAGUCCUUUUAAUUCUAUUUUUGAUAAAACACAGAGGAGAAGAAGGCCGAGCCAUUCUGGAGAAAUGCUUGUUAAUAAAUGAGAAGUAUAAAGGAAAAGAACAUCCCAGCUCAGUACCACUUCUUGUAAAUCUUGCAACUUCCUAUUCACGCUACAAGAAUUUUGUAGAAGCUGAGCGCUUGCUGAGCAUAAGUUUGCAAAUUAUGAUGAAGACUGUGCCCCCCGAUGAUCAGUCCCUCACAUUCCCGAUGUUACAUCUUGCCAUCACUCUGUACAAUCUAAAUCGAGAUGAAGAAGCUGAAAAACUUGCUCUCGAUGUUCUGCACAUUCGUGAGAAGGCAUUUGGAAGAGAAUCUCUACCAACUGGUAAUUUUCUUGUUGUGCAGUUGCUUGCUGUAUGCUGGAUUACAUAUCAUGUUUGCUAAGCUUAAAUGUUACUUUUCUAGAAAGUGACCUACUUUCUAGAAAAGUUUUGUUAGCAUAAAAAUCAACUUGUAAAUUAUGUUUGGCAAGAAAGAAGCUUAAAAAGUAACUCUUACUUCUUUUUAAGCUUAGCCAAACACGCUCAUACCUCCUAUAUGCGACAUUGAGAGAUGAUUUUAUCAUGUGAAUUCUUUUGAAAGUUUGACAUUUUGAUCCAUCAGAAAUUUGACUAGAGGUUGGUACAUUCAACGCACUUUCAGCAGUUGCCUUGAGAUCUAAUUCUGUUAACUCAGAGUCAUUAUAUAGUGGCUUAGUUUCUUAUUUAAACUAUGCUUCUGUGCAUUCCUUGUCCAUAUUGUUUUCACGCUUUUGUUUCGUGAAUUUGUGAAACAGGAGAGGCUCUUGACUGUUUGGUCUCUAUUCAGUCACGAUCAGGGAAGGACGACAGUGAGUUGUUGGAGCUGCUCAAGAGGGUUCUGAGAAUUCAGGAGAAAGCUUUUGGCCACGAGGGUGAGGAGGUCAUGGAAACCCUCAAGAAAAUUGUACAUUACAUGGACAAAAUGGGUAUGAAUAACGAGAAACGUCCAUUGCAAAGAAGAUUAUCCAUUUUGAGAAACAAACACAAGAAAAUGGUUAGGUAUUGACAACAGUGGCUUAUUGAGUUGGAUAUUUCUUGUUUUCUUGCAAUGGAGCGAAUCCUAGAUCCUUGGCUGUUUUGAUGUCACGAACAAUGAUGAAAAGUUUUAUGGCAAGAGUAAGCAGCCAGUAUUCAGCAUUUUUGAUAAUGAACAUUGAGGUACUUGGCAACUCAAAUCAUGCAUCUUUUGAUAGUUUAUAGCAUGCUUAAUUUUCUUGAUAUUCUUCAUGUUCUUAGUUAAUCGAUAAAAUCUUGCCUGUUUUACCUUGUCCUUAAAAGGAGAUGCCUUAUUGACUUUUGGGAAUUAUUCGUGAUUUUAGUCAAAGAAACGUUUUCACAUUCAUUUUAAGAAAAUUACAUUAGAAAAACAAUUUGAAGAAAAUUCUAC
rnacentral:lncRNA from 1 species